rnacentral:tRNA from 1 species
ACGCUGAAUGAGAUCGGCGUCGAAACAGGAAAAUCUUAUUUGAAAGCAAACGGCAUUGAUAUCCCUGAUGAAGGCC